UAGGGCUGUUUCAGUUUUCACGUUCUCACUUACCUCGACGCCUCCAAACUACAAACCCAAGCCGAGCAAAAAAAACAAACAAACCGUAGAUCUGCAACAUCGCCGGUGAAAUUGGAUUCGAGUGUUGGUGUUGAAGAAGGAAUAGCUAUUUGGGCUUGACGAAUGAGCAUGGAAAUGGAGAAGAUUAAUAGAAAAAGGCGAGAUUGUCUAGGGUCGGCCAUCGGAAGACCGCAGAUCUGCCACAGCCCCCUUCAAUUUCUAUCCGAUUGUUUGUGUAGCAGGCGGCGCUGAAGAAGGAAAAGAUACCGGGCUUGAGCCUUUGAGAACAAGUCCAAAUCGAGGUCACUGAAUACCAGAGGAGGGGAGGUUCUCCAAGUGAAUUUUGUUGUAAGUCCCCGGCAAGGCUUCAAUAUGAGUCCCCGGCAAGCCUAUCAGCGGUUUUGGCGUGGCUAAAGUUUUGGAAUCUGGGGAUGCAAAGUUUAAGCAAGGCGACUUGGUUUGGGGAAUGACUGGCUGGGAAGAGUAUAGUCUCAUCACUUCCAUUCAGUAUUUGUUUUAAGAUUCCCACCACCGAAUCUUAAGAGUAUAGUCUCAUCACUUGGUUUGGGGAAUGAAUGACUGGCACCCAUGUGGAUGUGCCUUCCUCUUAUUAUACUGGAAUUCUUGGUGUUAAAGUUAGUUCCUUUAGAUUGAGCGAGUGAUCGAAGUUGUAGUAGAAAGAAGAACAUGAGAGAUUGGUCUGGGUUUGCCCCCAAAACGCGUAUGGAUCUCUCUGCCAUUUCCCAAGUUUGAGACUUUGUAUUCGCCUUGACUGCCGGUUUUGGUAUUUUUUUCCCCCUGGGGUUUCUGGGUUUGCUGUGUUUGCAUGAUUUUUGGGAUCAUUUGAACUAUGGGUUUGAUUGUAUGAGCUUAAUGUCUCUGUUCAAGGUGUGCAAAGCCACAUAUAUAGAAUUUCAGAUUAAAUCUCCACCAACACAGCAGAGUGCAUAGUUUGUGUGAAACGAUUAAAAAUGGCCGAUGAAGCCAACAGAGCUUACAGAUAUAUCAAAUAUGGUGAAAUCGUGACUUAUUAAUGGAGAAUUCAAAUAGAUUUAAGGUGCAGAACUAUAAGUAGUAUUAAUCAUUUCAAGAUGCUAAUGCUGGUGGUAUUAAUCAAAUAAGCUGAAGAACUAGCCGCCGCUCUAGCAGCAAGAAAGGGUCAUCCUGUAGAAAAUGAUACCGAUGCGGUAUGAAUAUCAAUUUCUUGAGAUGCUGAUCAGCUUUUGGAAUCUAAAAGGAAGGAUUCAUUGAUAUCGGUACUAUCUGUCAUGCGAUCCAGAUCAAGUAUGCUUCGUUCUGUCAGUCUGUGGCAUUCAAUAUGAUUCAGGCUUUAAUCUCCAGAUUUGUAACACAUAACGGUCGGUGGUACCAAGCAUGUCCACACUGUUUUCGACAACUGAAACAAAAGAAGAAUAACGAUCUGCUAAUCUGUCUGGAACACAAUAUGCAAGUGCCUCUUCCAUGGUAACAACUUCAUCCUAACUACAUCAUAAUAUGGGGCUUUUGACCAUUGGAGCAGUGCUCAAUUUUCUUGGAUGUGGAUUGCUUUGGCUUAUAGUCUCACAAAAGAUUGCUGCUUUGCCUUUGUGGGUGGUGAGUAGUUCAAUCAAGUUUGAAUCUUGAUCAUCAAGUCUGAUUUUGGUUUGUUUCUGUGUAUCGCUUCCCUUUUUUGUGGGUACCAAUAGUUAGCCUUUUUUGUUUCAUUCUGAUAUGUUUUGUCUGAUAACCUUGAUUACUGAGUUUAAUUCAUUACUGCAUUUUAUAUUUA